rnacentral:siRNA from 1 species
AACGAUUAGAUGUUUACAUGUGU